AUUGAACGCUGGCGGCAGACUUAACACAUGCAAGUCGAGCGAGCGGCGGACGGGUGAGUAAUGUCUGGGAAACUGCCUGAUGGAGGGGGAUAACUACUGGAAACGGGAGCUAAUACCGCAUACCAUCAGAUGUGCCCAGAUGGGCUAAGCUGGUAGGUGGGGUAAUGGCUAACCUAGGCGACGAUCCCUCGCUGGUCUGAGAGGAUGACCCGCCACACGGGAACUGAGACACGGUCCAGACUCCUACGGGAGGCAGCAGUGGGGAAUAUUGCACAAUGGGCGCAAGCCUGAUGCAGCCAUGCCGCGUGUGUGAAGAAGGCCUUCGUGUUGUAAAGCACUUUCAGCGAGGAGGCGUUACUCGCAGAAGAAGCACCGGCUAACUCCGUGCCAGCAGCCGCGGUAAUUC
rnacentral:rRNA from 1 species